CCAUGGCAGCACAACAAUGGGUAGCUACUUCCUAUCCCUAAUUACACAAGAACCUAAUUAAACUAGAAGUUAAAAGUAACCCCUCCUACACCUCCCAUCCUCAGUCUUUUUGUCCCUGUCCUAUCCCUAGGACAGACUUACUUUUACUUUUAUGGCUUACCUGAGGAUUGGUUCCACUGGCCCCUUGGGAGUUCAGCCUUUCUCCCUUGGGAAGUCACCAGUACACGGCCCUGUGCAAAGGUGACCCCCUGGAGAAACUGGGGGUUCUAACUUGCUGUGACCCAAAGGGUAGGUGACCCAAGGGGUAGCAAGAUCAUGCCAUCACCAUAAUUCCUGCAGUGACCCAAUGGGUAGCAGGCAGGGCCGGAUUAACAUAGGGACUGAUGGAGCUGCAGCCCCAAGCCCAUGGAAUAGGCCCAUUGAUUUCAAGAAAACUUUAUUUUUUUUCACACUACUCUUAUUUUAUCGUCACAGCCAGAAUUUUUUGAGGCUGCCUGGCCGGUGCCGAUAUUGCAGUCAUACUGGCAAUACAAAUGCUGGUAUUUUCUCCGUAUAAACAGAGAUUAUGAUGCAAUACCAGCACUGGCCACUAGGGGUCAUUGUGUGUAUAAAGAGGCAGGGAUAGGAAGUUCCAGCAUAUCCCUCCCUGCUUAUUUCUACUCACAGGGGAGCAGCUACAGAGAGUCCAGACAGCAACUCCCACUAUGCAGAGACAGCUUACCGCUCAGGAAGUGCGGGAUGGGGAAAGGCUGCAAGAAGACACUAAGGGAC